rnacentral:rRNA from 1 species
AUCGAACGCUGGCGGCAGGCCUAACACAUGCAAGUCGAACGUGUGGCGGACGGGUGAGUAAUUCUUUGACAUCUGGCUUAUGGAGGGGGACAACGGCGGGAAACUGUAGCUAAUACCGCGUACCAUAGGAUGCGCACAGGUGGGAUUAGGUAGUGGGUGAGGUAAUGGCAUACCAAGCCGACGAUCUCGAGCUGGUCAGAGAGGCUGACCGGCCACACCGGGACUGAGACACGGCCCGGACUCCUACGGGAGGCAGCAGUGGGGAAUAUUACGCAAUGGAGGAAAGCUGAAGGAGCAAUGCCGCGUGAGUGAAGAAGGCCUUCGGGUUGUAAAGUUCUGUCGGUGACGAAGCGGUAAUCAACGAGGAAGCACCGGCUAACUCCGUGCCAGCAGCCGCGGUAAUAC